rnacentral:rRNA from 1 species
GAUGAACGCUGGCGGCGUGCUUAACACAUGCAAGUCGAACGAAGCACCUUGAUUUGAUUCUUCGGAUGAAGAUCUUGGUGACUGAGUGGCGGACGGGUGAGUAACGCGUGGGUAACCUGCCUCAUACAGGGGGAUAACAGUUAGAAAUGACUGCUAAUACCGCAUAAGACCACAGUACCGCAUGGUACAGGGGUAAAAACUACGGGGGUAUGAGAUGGACCCGCGUCUGAUUAGGUAGUUGGUGGGGUAACGGCCUACCAAGCCGACGAUCAGUAGCCGAACUGAGAGGGUGACCGGCCACAUUGGGACUGAGACACGGCCCAAACUCCUACGGGAGGCAGCAGUGGGGAAUAUUGCACAAUGGGGGAAACCCUGAUGCAGCGACGCCGCGUGAGCGAUGAAGUAUUUCGGUAUGUAAAGCUCCAUCAGCAGGGAAGAAAAUGACGGUACCUGACUAAGAAGCACCGGCUAAAUACGUGCCAGCCGCCGCGGUAAGAC